rnacentral:rRNA from 1 species
UACGAAGGGGGCUAGCGUUGCUCGGAAUCACUGGGCGUAAAGCGCACGUAGGCGGCUUUCUAAGUCAGGGGUGAAAUCCUGGAGCUCAACUCCAGAACUGCCUUUGAUACUGGAGAGCUCGAGUCCGGGAGAGGUGGAGUGGAACUGCGAGUGUAGAGGUGAAAUUCGUAGAUAUUCGCAAGAACACCAGUGGCGAAGGCGGACUCACUGGCCCGGUACUGACGCUGAGGUGCGAAAGCGAUGGGGA